rnacentral:rRNA from 1 species
CYUACACGAGGCAGCAGUGGGGAAUAUUGGACAAUGGGCGAAAGCCUGAUCCAGCAAUGCCGCGUGAGUGAUGAAGGCCUUAGGGUUGUAAAGCUCUUUUACCAGGGAUGAUAAUGACAGUACCUGGAGAAUAAGCUCCGGCUAACUCCGUG